CUGAUCUUUGUCGUUCGCAUGCACAACAGCUGUUCGACAUUUGACGAGAUCUCUUACUGCAACUGAGGGCCUUCGCUUUGCUGUGGUUGUGGCACGGUUUAAUGAGAUUGUGAUGAAGCUGCUUUUGGAGGGAGCUUUGGACACGUUCAAGAGAUAUUCAGUUAAAGAAGAAGACAUUGAUGUAGUGUGGGUUCCUGGUAGUUUUGAAAUUGGUGUUGUUGCAGAAAAGCUUAGGAAGUCU